rnacentral:tRNA from 3 species
GCGACCAUAGCUCAGGUGGGAGAGCGCUACCUUGACAUGGUAGAGGUCAGAGGUUCGAUCCCUCUUGGUCGCACCA